AUCUCUUUAGUCUAAAAAGAUUUUCGAGUUUCAUUCGGAAGAGCCUAAAAGUAGGAAGAGAAA
rnacentral:tRNA from 1 species